rnacentral:lncRNA from 1 species
AACAAGGCCACGGAAGGAAAUCAUUACAGACAGCUGGACUGUAAAAAGCAAAAAUACUCCACACACCAAACUCUACAAGCCAGUAGAAGCCGAGCGAGCGUUCUAUGAUUCAACAGGCCUGUUUCUGCCACGUGGCUCAUGCUCAUGAUACGUGGCACAUAGCCCUGGUUUGCUGCUGGCUGCUGCUCUGAGCUCUGCUAGGAAGCCACAGAGCGGGAUCUCAGGAAGGCUGGCAGGGAACAUCACAACCGCCUUCCUCACUUUGCUUCACCAACACUGAACUAUUCUGGGUAGCACCAUUCAGCCUUCCUAUAAGUCUCUCAUAGGGAGUGGCACUAUUAGAAGAUGUGACCUUGUUGGAAUAGGUGUGGUCUUGUUGGAGGAAGUGUGUCACUGUGGAGGUGGGCUUUGAGGUCUCAAAUAUGCUCAAGAUACUGCCUAGUGUCUCAGACCACUUCCUGUUGCCUGCAAGAUGCAGGACUCUCAGCUACUUCUCCAGCACCAUGUCUGCCUGUGUGCCACCAUGUCCUACCAUGAUGAUAAUGGACUGAACCUCUGAAACUGCAAGUGAG